GCCUGGGUGGCUCAGUUGGUUAAGCGUCUGACUUCGGCUCAGGUCAUGAUCUCACAGUUCGUGGGUUCGAGCCCCGCAUCAGGCU
rnacentral:tRNA from 1 species